rnacentral:tRNA from 3 species
CACUGUAAAGCUACUUGGCAUUAACCUUUUAAGUUAAAGACGGGGAGAACUUCUCUCUACAGUGA